GAAGAAUUCAGAAUUCUAAAUAUAAUAAUAAACUUGACUAUUUUAUAUUUAUGUGUCUUGACCAAAUCAUGUGCCAGCAGUCGCGGUAAUACAUGAAAGACUAGUGUUAUUCAUCUUUAAUAGGUUUAAAGGGUACCUAGACGGUAAAUAUAGCCUAAAAAAGGGACAUAUUUACUAGAGUUUUAUUAGAGAAGGUGGAAUUUUUGGAUUAAAGAUAUAAUUUGCUAAAACCAAAAAGACAGACAACGGUGAAGACAACCUUCUAUCUAUAAACUGACGUUGAGGGACGAAGGCUUGGGUAGCGAUAAGGAUUAGAUACCCUAGUAGUCCAAGCAGAAAAUUAUGAAUGUCAUAGACUUAUUUUAAUUAAGUCUAUAAACGAAAGUGUAAGCAUUCCACCUUGAGAGUAAUGUGGCAACGCAGAAACUUAAAUCAUUAGACCGUUUCUGAAACCAGUAAUGAAGUAUGUUAUUUAAUUCGAUGACCCGCGAAUAACCUUACCACAAUUUGUAUAUUAUUUAGUUAAUACAGGUGCUGCAUGGCUGUCUUUAGCUAAUGUCGUGAGACUAUGGUUAGUUCCAUUAAUUAGCGUAAACCCUUAUAAUAUUUUUUUAUAUUAUAGCUCUGUCGUUAUAUUGAUAUUGCAUAAUAGGGAUCAAGACAAGUCCUCAUGGCCUUAA
rnacentral:rRNA from 1 species